rnacentral:rRNA from 1 species
GUGGGGAAUUUUGGACAAUGGGCGCAAGCCUGAUCCAGCAAUGCCGCGUGUGUGAAGAAGGCCUUCGGGUUGUAAAGCACUUUUGGCAGGAAAGAAAUAGUGCGUGCUAAUACCAUGCGCGAAUGACGGUACCUGCAGAAUAAGCACCGGCUAACUACGUGCCAGCAGCCGCGGUAAGACGUAGGGUGCAAGCGUUAAUCGGAAUUACUGGGCGUAAAGCGUGCGCAGGCGGUUUUGUAAGACAGGUGUGAAAUCCCCGGGCUCAACCUGGGAACUGCACUUGGGACUGCAAGGCUAGAGUGUGUCAGAGGGAGGUGGGAUUCCGCGUGUAGCAGUGAAAUGCGUAGAGAUGCGGAGGAACACCGAUGGCGAAGGCAGCCUCCUGGGAUAACACUGACGCUCAGGCACGAAAGCGUGGGGAGCAAACAGGAUUAGAAACCCGAGUAGUCC